GUGCCAGCAGCCGCGGUAAUACGUAUGUCCCGAGCGUUGUCCGGAUUUAUUGGGCGUAAAGCGAGCGCAGGCGGUUAGAUAAGUCUGAAGUUAAAGGCUGUGGCUUAACCAUAGUACGCUUUGGAAACUGUUUAACUUGAGUGCAGAAGGGGAGAGUGGAAUUCCAUGUGUAGCGGUGAAAUGCGUAGAUACAUGGAGGAACACCGGUGGCGAAAGCGGCUCUCUGGUCUGUAACUGACGCUGAGGCUCGAAAGCGUGGGGAGCGAACAGGAUUAGAUACCCUGGUAGUCCACGCCGUAAACGAUGAGUGCUAGGUGUUAGGCCCUUUCCGGGGCUUAGUGCCGCAGCUAACGCAUUAAGCACUCCGCCUGGGGAGUACGACCGCAAGGUUGAAACUCAAAGGAAUUGACGGGGGCCCGCACAAGCGGUGGAGCAUGUGGUUUAAUUCGAAGCAACGCGAAGAACCUUACCAGGUCUUGACAUCCCGAUGCCCGCUCUAGAGAUAGAGUUUUACUUCGGUACAUCGGUGACAGGUGGUGCAUGGUUGUCGUCAGCUCGUGUCGUGAGAUGUUGGGUUAAGUCCCGCAACGAGCGCAACCCCUAUUGUUAGUUGCCAUCAUUCAGUUGGGCACUCUAGCGAGACUGCCGGUAAUAAACCGGAGGAAGGUGGGGAUGACGUCAAAUCAUCAUGCCCCUUAUGACCUGGGCUACACACGUGCUACAAUGGCUGGUACAACGAGUCGCAAGUCGGUGACGGCAAGCUAAUCUCUUAAAGCCAGUCUCAGUUCGGAUUGUAGGCUGCAACUCGCCUACAUGGAGUCGGGAAUCGCUAGUAAUCGCGGAAUCAGCCACGCCGGCGGUGGAAUACGU
rnacentral:rRNA from 1 species